CUGCGCAAAAAUUCUUGCAAUAAUGAAAAUCUGUGCAAAAUUCCUCAAUUAUAAAAAAGUGCAAAUAACUUUUUUAAGAAUCUGCACAAAAUGCCUUUGUGAAACAAUAACCAUGCAGAUUUCUGACCCUCCUAUUUGCCAAAAACGCUUUCUGACUGCAGAAAUCCCUGGUCUGCCGUAAAUUUUUGAUAUAAAAUAUCCAACAUUUCUGUGCAAAAAAUGUUUCCGGCGCAAAAUAAAACUUUGCAGUCUUAUCUGGAAAGGCAAGAUUCCAGAUGGCAGGGAGGUUGAUUAAACUUCGAGGGAUUGAUGGAACACCAAGUUGUGACAAGCUGGCGAAGGCCUUCUGUUCAAACGGUUUAAGGUAGUUCUACCAGUUCAGACACAAACCACUCCAGCUGGAAUUCCAUAUUGGAAUGAACGUGUAUGCAUUUCCACAUCGUUUAUUAAGGUUGCUGCAACAUAAUCCCAGCAACCAUUAAAUUACAUGUACAUAUAUACAAAAUAAUUUACUGAUGGGCCUCCUCAGUUUUCUGGACAAAUUGCCAAAAUCAGAUCAUGAGAUACGUUCAUCUUUAUCACUCUUCGCAGGCCUUAAAAUAUCGGUCGGUCACGGACAUUGUCCGACCCAUUCGUGAAAUUGUCCGACGUAGAAAGGAAACCACCGGACAUUCUGUCCGACCUAAGUGAAACUGAGGUUUAUUGUUUGUCCGACCCGAGUGUAUUGGUGUCCGACCAAAUUAUCGGCUUUGUCCGACGUAAAUCAAAAUGUACCCUAGCCCAGGACUAGAGGCUUGUACUGGUUAAAUGGAAAAUCAGAGUAGCCUACUAUUGUAUAAAAGGUCAACUGGAAAUGUUGUUUUAACGUAGUCGAGCACGGUGCGGCGAGCGAAAUGGUGAAGUGGAAAACGGGCUUAAGUUGUCGAAGUCUUUUUGAUACUGCUGUUCUGGAAAGCAAGUUAAUUUUGGCUUGGAAAUAAGUAUGAAAGAAACAAAUUAUUUAAUAUCUUUACAACAUUUACCGUUUAUUCAUUUGUGUCAUUCAGACUUAUUUCCGAGCCAAAAAUGAACUGAAGGUCAUCGGACAUAUGUCCUACCCAAACUCAACGUCAUCGUACAUUUUGUCAGACGGCCCUGGAAAAUAUAUUUUAAGGCCUGCUCUUCGUCG